rnacentral:tRNA from 1 species
AGGGCUGUAGCUCAGUUGGUCGAGCACUUGCCUGGCAUGCAAGAGGUUGUGGCUUCCACUUCUG